AUUGAACGCUGGCGGCGUGCUUAACACAUGCAAGUCGAUCGGUAACGCGGGGGCAACCCUGGCGACGAGAGGCGGACGGGUGAGGAACGCUUGGGAAUCUGCCUAUCAGCGGGGGACAACACGGGGAAACUCGUGCUAAUACCGCAUACGCUCUACGGAGGAAAGCCGGGGACCGCAAGGCCUGGCCCUGAGAGAUGAGCCCAAGCCGGAUUAGCUAGUUGGCGGGGUAACGGCCCACCAAGGCGACGAUCCGUAGCUGGUCUGAGAGGACGAUCAGCCACACUGGGACUGAGACACGGCCCAGACUCCUACGGGAGGCAGCAGUGGGGAAUAUUGGACAAUGGGGGAAACCCUGAUCCAGCGACGCCGCGUGGGUGAAGAAGGCCUGCGGGUUGUAAAGCCCUUUCGGUAGGGACGAAAGCUCUCGACCUAACACGUCGGGAGGUUGACUUAACCUACAAAAGAAGCACCGGCUAACUCUGUGCCAGCCGCCGCGGUAA
rnacentral:rRNA from 1 species